rnacentral:rRNA from 1 species
CAUAGGUUAAUGAGGCGAACCGGGGGAACUGAAACAUCUAAGUACCCCGAGGAAAAGAAAUCAACCGAGAUUCCCCCAGUAGCGGCGAGCGAACGGGGAGCAGCCCAGAGCCUGAAUCAGUGUGUGUGUUAGUGGAAGCGUCUGGAAAGGCGCGCGAUACAGGGUGACAGCCCCGUACACAAAAAUGCACAUGCUGUGAGCUCGAUGAGUAGGGCGGGACACGUGGUAUCCUGUCUGAAUAUGGGGGGACCAUCCUCCAAGGCUAAAUACUCCUGACUGACCGAUAGUGAACCAGUACCGUGAGGGAAAGGCGAAAAGAACCCCGGCGAGGGGAGUGAAAAAGAACCUGAAACCGUGUACGUACAAGCAGUGGGAGCACGCUUAGGCGUGUGACUGCGUACCUUUUGUAUAAUGGGUCAGCGACUUAUAUUCUGUAGCAAGGUUAACCGAAUAGGGGAGCCGAAGGGAAACCGAGUCUUAACUGGGCGUUAAGUUGCAGGGUAUAGACCCGAAACCCGGUGAUCUAGCCAUGGGCAGGUUGAAGGUUGGGUAACACUAACUGGAGGACCGAACCGACUAAUGUUGAAAAAUUAGCGGAUGACUUGUGGCUGGGGGUGAAAGGCCAAUCAAACCGGGAGAUAGCUGGUUCUCCCCGAAAGCUAUUUAGGUAGCGCCUCGUGAAUUCAUCUCCGGGGGUAGAGCACUGUUUCGGCAAGGGGGUCAUCCCGACUUACCAACCCGAUGCAAACUGCGAAUACCGGAGAAUGUUAUCACGGGAGACACACGGCGGGUGCUAACGUCCGUCGUGAAGAGGGAAACAACCCAGACCGCCAGCUAAGGUCCCAAAGUCAUGGUUAAGUGGGAAACGAUGUGGGAAGGCCCAGACAGCCAGGAUGUUGGCUUAGAAGCAGCCAUCAUUUAAAGAAAGCGUAAUAGCUCACUGGUCGAGUCGGCCUGCGCGGAAGAUGUAACGGGGCUAAACCAUGCACCGAAGCUGCGGCAGCGACGCUGAUGCGUUGUUGGGUAGGGGAGCGUUCUGUAAGCCUGCGAAGGUGUGCUGUGAGGCAUGCUGGAGGUAUCAGAAGUGCGAAUGCUGACAUAAGUAACGAUAAAGCGGGUGAAAAGCCCGCUCGCCGGAAGACCAAGGGUUCCUGUCCAACGUUAAUCGGGGCAGGGUGAGUCGACCCCUAAGGCGAGGCCGAAAGGCGUAGUCGAUGGGAAACAGGUUAAUAUUCCUGUACUUGGUGUUACUGCGAAGGGGGGACGGAGAAGGCUAUGUUGGCCGGGCGACGGUUGUCCCGGUUUAAGCGUGUAGGCUGGUUUUCCAGGCAAAUCCGGAAAAUCAAGGCUGAGGCGUGAUGACGAGGCACUACGGUGCUGAAGCAACAAAUGCCCUGCUUCCAGGAAAAGCCUCUAAGCAUCAGGUAACAUCAAAUCGUACCCCAAACCGACACAGGUGGUCAGGUAGAGAAUACCAAGGCGCUUGAGAGAACUCGGGUGAAGGAACUAGGCAAAAUGGUGCCGUAACUUCGGGAGAA